rnacentral:rRNA from 1 species
UACGUAGGGUGCGAGCGUUAAUCGGAAUUACUGGGCGUAAAGCGUGCGCAGGCGGUUGAUUAAGUCUGAUGUGAAAGCCCCGGGCUCAACCUGGGAAUGGCAUUGGAAACUGGUCGGCUUGAGUAUGGCAGAGGGGGGUGGAAUUCCGCGUGUAGCAGUGAAAUGCGUAGAGAUGCGGAGGAACACCGAUGGCGAAGGCAGCCCCCUGGGCCAAUACUGACGCUCAGGCACGAAAGCGUGGGGAGCAAACAGG